rnacentral:rRNA from 1 species
UCCGUUGGUGAACCAGCGGAGGGAUCAUUACCGAGUUUACAACUCCCAAACCCAAUGUGAACCAUACCAAACUGUUGCCUCGGCGGGGUCACGCCCCGGGUGCGUCGCAGCCCCGGAACCAGGCGCCCGCCGGAGGGACCAACCAAACUCUUUUCUGUAGUCCCCUCGCGGACGUUAUUUCUUACAGCUCUGAGCAAAAAUUCAAAAUGAAUCAAAACUUUCAACAACGGAUCUCUUGGUUCUGGCAUCGAUGAAGAACGCAGCGAAAUGCGAUAAGUAAUGUGAAUUGCAGAAUUCAGUGAAUCAUCGAAUCUUUGAACGCACAUUGCGCCCGCCAGUAUUCUGGCGGGCAUGCCUGUCCGAGCGUCAUUUCAACCCUCGAACCCCUCCGGGGGGUCGGCGUUGGGGACCUCGGGAGCCCCUAAGACGGGAUCCCGGCCCCGAAAUACAGUGGCGGUCUCGCCGCAGCCUCUCCUGCGCAGUAGUUUGCACAACUCGCACCGGGAGCGCGGCGCGUCCACGUCCGUAAAACACCCAACUUCUGAAAUGUUGACCUCGGAUCAGGUAGGAAUACCCGCUGAACUUAAG